UGAGUUGUUACAGAUUAAGGAGACACUUUAAAUUCUUCUGCUCUAAUAACAAAAGUGCAUCUAAUGUCUUAGCGAAAAAUAUUAAUGGGUGAAUCUCCAACAUGAUCACACAGGAAGUCGGCAUGUUGUUUCCGAGAGUUCUGGUACACUAGGAACGGCCAGAUUAUGCCGACUCACGACAAGCGGCAUAUCCUAUCAGAUAUUUUUGCAUGGGCUCCAGUGUGUUUACCUUCCCUUGCACCGCAACUGGAAGCGUGUUGCGUCAGCAGCGUGCGAGACCCAGCUUUGUAUACCACGUUGAAAAAAGGAAAUAAAUCGCAGUCAAAUAAUCAGUGACGAGUGCGAUUCGGAGGUUGCAUUUUUCCCUAGGCUACAUUUUUACUCCACUGAUGGUAAGGUUUCCCCUUCACUGUAUCAUAGCCUGUACAGCUGUAAUUCACCCAUAUGCCCCCAACAACACUUACAGCUGUCACCACUGGGGGCAGUGUUUUGCAUUUCAGUAAGUACAGACCGAUUUUAGCUAAAGAAAAGUAAAACUGCUUCCAAUUUCACUGAAUGAUCAGUCUAGAAUCUCACAGUAAAUGUCAAGAAUAGAGCACAACAAUCUGGUUCCGGAAGUAAAAAUCCCAUUCAUUUUUGCCAUAGACAAACUGAUUAUAAAUGAUAACUUUUUAACCUUUAAAGACAGUCCUACCAUGAGCUUUGAGGUUGUUAAUUGAUGGUAUAUGCUUCUGUUGAAGCCAUCAGUCUAUGUUAUUUCAACUUCAUUAAAAAAGAAAAUCAUGUUUAAUAGUGGAAUUUCUGGUGAAGAACUACACUACCUAUGAUCCUAAAGGGAAACAAUCCACGAAUCAUGGCAAACCAACCACGGAAAAUAAGCUCUGCUGCAACCACCCACUUCCAUGACGCACUUUUAAACUACUUAAAUAUUUGUGUUUAUCUGAAUAAUUUGCAAUACAAUUAAAAUAUAUCUAAACUUUUAGACAACUACUUCAAAUUCAAUAGUUUUAUUUAUUUCCAAUGAUAUUCAUUCAGUUACUUCUUUUGCAAUGCUUCAUGGGCUUGUAGGUCAUUCCCUCACUGAAGACAUUAAGUACAAAGUCUUGUACCUAUGUCUUAUCGUCCGAUUUUCAAAUACUUAUUUUUUGGGGGUUUGAAUUAACGUUUGUAAUGUUGUGAUUCAUCUCAGAACUGGUUGAUUUGAAUCAUGGCUUAGAACGCUUUUAUGAAAGAUUUUAUGAAAUCCUCAUGGAAAAAAUUAAUGGAAAAAAUACUUCUAGAAAAAGACAGCUGAAAAUGUGGUCUAGCAUUGUUACACUCUAUAAGUCAUAUUUAACCCCAAAAUCUAAAGAAAAAAAAAUAAUAAUUUGUGUUAAGAAAACGAAGCCUAAUUUUAAGACCAUUUACUGACAUUAUUUUCAUCACAAUUAAGUAAGGGAUAAUGCACAGUAAGCCGCCCAUUACCUCAAAAUAAACUUUGAUAGGGUGAUCAGGAUCCUGAUGAAAAGUGGAGUUUAUUUUUUAGGGCUUAAUUUUGAGAUGAGCAGCUGACUGUAUAUUAUCCUUCUAAUUACAUGGCUACUUACCAACUAAACAAAUAAAUGGACUAUUAAUCUGAGUUUAAAUUAUUUUCCUAUGUGAGUUUCCUAUGCGUCUCUCCAAUGGUAUGCACUCUAUAAAGCAGUAUUAAUCUCCAAGAUCGCAUAUCAUUUUCACAACUUGUUUUAUCUGGAGUUUUUUGUCUUCAGAAAUUUUUCGGAAAGAUGUUUUGCUAACAGAAUGCUAAAUACCAAUUUAAACAUCUUUCAACCCAUUGAUGAGACGCUCAAGCCUUGUUUUCAUUCACGUGAAAAAUUCAAUUUGGUGUUACUGUGAAUAAGGUCCAUAGGUCUGGGUUUGGUCAUCUGCUUAAGGAGGCUGGAACACUUUCUGCAGGAAUACAUAGCAGCCCUGACCAAAUAAGGUCAGGGAUCUCGGCAGACAGAAGGUAAACAAAGUCCUUGAGCUCUGGAGACAAAGAAUGAGAGAGAGAGAGAAAGAGAGAGAGAGUGAUAGAGAGACAGUGGAAGAGUUCAUGGACUCCUAUUCUCAGUUUUUGGAGCUAUUUGUGGAUAUUUUAUCCACAAAUUCUGAGGCUGUGGGAUUCAGUGGGCUGGACUCAAAGCCAUCCGUCAGGCAGGAUGAGAUUCAUCUGGCAUUGAGCCCUUUGGUGCUGGACACAGUUCCAACACGCUAUAUUCCAUCACGCUCAUUGCGAUCGCAAAAUCAUGGCCUGUUAAUAGUUCCUAGAAUAUCUAAAUCCACAAAAGAAGGUAGAUCAUUUUCCUAUUUGGCUCCUUAACUAUGGAAUAGUCGCCUUAACACUGUUCGAGACGCAGACACACUCACUCAGUUUCAGUCUAAACUAAAGACUCAUCUAUUUAGCCAGGCAUACACCUAAUUUAUCCUUCAACUCACAAUUAGGCUGCUUUAGUUAGGUCUGCUGGAACCAGAAACAUUUCUCAUAAUCUAUAACUCUGCAAUAAAUUGAAUGGCAUCUACGAUAAUAUUAUUCUAUUUGUUUCCCUGUCUCAGGAUUGAACCUCAGGAUUCAUAUCCCGAGGUUACCAGAUCCAGCCAGAUCCACCUCCGCUCUUGCUUGGUAUCGGACUCCACUGCUAUGUGUCUCUGAGUGAUCAUGACGACUAAACGCAGCCGGUGCCAGCCAGACAUCACUUCAGUCUAUUACGAUGGACUUCAAAGACAUUAGUCAUUAAUCUUAUAGUUCAUACAAAAUCUUGAAGACAGAAAUGUCAUACAGGUCUGGAACAACAUUAGGACGGAUACUUGCCUGAUGACAAAUGGAAAGGUGGUUAAAUGCCGAAGCAGCUAAACUGGUUCCUGGGAUGAAAGAUGUCUAUGAUGGCCCAGAGUGGACAGGCAACACUUAGACCACAGUGGAAGAGGAUGGGCUCUCCAUCAUUGAUGCUGUAAAAGACCCGCCCGUGUCGGUCAGCCCAGAAGGCCAAAACAUUGUCUCUCAUGGCCAGUCU